rnacentral:tRNA from 1 species
GCGGGGGUAGCUCAGCCUGGUUGGAGCGCCCAGGGACGAAGUCCCGCGUAUGGCUCAUAACCGGGAGGACCCGGGUUCAAAUCCCGGCCCCCGCA